GACUGUUCUCCAUUCUAUGUUCACAGAAAAGAUCCACUUUGAUGUCCAAGAGGAUGCCAGAGACAUGAGGCAGCGUCUUCAGCUUCUACUGGCACAUGUUCUGCUCUUCGUCUUGAUGGUGUUGAUGCAUAGCACCAUUGCCCUAAUUCCUUCUUGUUCAUCAUCACUUCCUUUUAUCUUGUUAUAGAAAGCACUUUCAGGCAUUUUCAUAUUGAAGAUAUUUUCAUUUGCCUCACGUCCAUUUCUUCUAUGACAUAGAUGAAUAUUGACUCUAAUACUUUUCUGUUGUUUUUUAUUGGACAGAGGAAAGUAAACACCUUGAUUGUGCUCAGAGCCUGUCUCACGCCUCAUUACGUACCGGGGCUACUCCAGGAGUUGGGCAGACUUAAUGCAACAUGUCCCAAGAAGGAAAAGUCACUGCAUUCUGAGAAAAGGCUGUGGAGGACGACACACCUGAGCUGGCCCUUGAAGGAUGUGCAGGAUUUAGGUAAGGGUGAGGGAAGGGCUUUCCAAGGGGACCAAAUGAGACAGAUUAGCAGAUCAGGGUUAGACAAUAUGCAUGAGAUAGGUCCUUUCUCUUGUUGGAAAGUGAAAGCUUGGAAAUCUAACUGAAAAGUGAAGUCAUGAUGACAUUUUAGGGAGAUUUGUAGUGGAGAGCAGGUUUGAUGGUAGUGUGUGAGAAACUAAAAUAAGAGAGGUCAAGUUGGAGGUUAUUGCAGCAGUUCAGAUAUUAAUGGUGAGAGCCCAGUGGACACGGGGGCUGUAGAAAUGAAAAGAAAGGUAUAGAUGUGAGCACUCUUGAAGGAAGAACUCAAAGGAAUUAAUGAUAGUUGGGAUCGAGGAGGUGACAGAGAAGAUUCAGGCAAAGGAGAUGAGGUUUGAGGCUUGAUAGGGAAAACACAUGAGAAAUGAUCUACUAUGAGCAGAAAAAGAGAAGUUAGAACGAGAAGCCCGUUUGAGGGGAAGGUGAUAAUUUUGUUGGGCUUCUGGUGACAUCUAAGUAGAAAACUUGAGAAGGUAGAUAGAAAGACACCUUCUGUUCAGUAAAGAGAUCACAAGCUAAAGAUGUGGAUUUGGAACUUCUCUGCAUAAAAAAGUGGUAGUUGAGGAUGGCAGUGAAGUUAAACUCUGAGAACUGAAGUGCAGUGGGAGGGCUUGGGGUCACACCUCCCUCCACGGGAAAGAGUCAGUACAGGUAAUGUGGGCUCCAAGGAUCUGGGUGGGCUUGGAAGCAGGGAAAUCAGAAAGUGUGAGCAGAAAAUUCAGUUUCAAAAGGAAGGAGGUGGCUAAUUUUAACAAAAGGGUAAAAUGUUGUGUUUUUAAAGUUUUCUGUUGAAAGAGUAUUAGGGACAAAUGUAAUAAUCCUUGUAGAAAGGGCCAAGGAUGUCUAUUAAAGCUGGUUUCCCGGCCUGGCCCUGUGGCUGAGUGGUUACUAUGCCUUGGUGGCUGGGGUUCAUGGGUUCACAUGCUGGUAUGGACCUACUCCAGUCACUAGCCAUGCUGUGGUGGUGUCUCACAUACAAAAUAGAGGAAGAUUGUCACAGAUGUUAGCUCAGGGCUAAUCUUCCUCAAACAAAAAAAGAGGAGGAUUGGCAACAGAUGUUAGCUCAGGGUGAAUCUUCCUUAGCAAGAAUAAAAAAAGGUGGUUUCCCA
rnacentral:lncRNA from 1 species